AACGAACGCUGGCGGCAGGCUUAACACAUGCAAGUCGAGCGCCCCGCAAGGGGAGCGGCCGACGGGUGAGUAACGCGUGGGGACGUACCCUUAUCUUCGGGCUAGCUCCGGGAAACUGGAAUUAAUACCGAAUGUGCCCUUUGGGGGAAAGAUUUCUCGGAUAAGGAUCGGCCCGCGUUGGAUUGGCUAGGUGGUGGGGUAAAGGCCUACCAAGGCGACGAUCCAUAGCUGGUCUGAGAGGAUGAUCAGCCACAUUGGGACUGAGACACGGCCCAAACUCGUACGGGAGGCAGCAGUGGGGAAUAUUGGACAAUGGGCGCAAGCCUGAUCCAGCCAUGCCGCGUGAGUGAUGAAGGCCUUAGGGUUGUAAAGCUCUUUCACCGGAGAAGAUAAUGACGGUAUCCGGAGAAGAAGCCCCGGCUAACUUCGUG
rnacentral:rRNA from 1 species